GUGCAGGGACCCAGGGAGGCGCUCGAGGACCGACCGGUCACCGCUCCAAUUACCUCAUCGCGCAGCUCCCCGCCCCCUUCCCAAACCUGGAAGGAACCUUGCCCUCCACCCCGCUCCUCCCCUCCCCCACGGCCCGUCCCGAGCCACUCUUGGGGAAAGGUGCCCGCCUCCCCGGGCCGCGCGCCGCGAAGGGUUAAGGGCGCGGGCCAGCCGCCGCGCGGUGCGCUCAGGGCUCGGUGCUGCUCGCCGGGCCGCCCGCCAGAGGGUGCCCCCCACCCCCAUGAAGUCGGAUCCUUGAGCUGCGGCGGCGGCAGCCAACUGCUCCAUAUUUGGCUUCUAUUACACAUUUACAUACUGGAGCGAGCGAGCGAGCGAGCGAGCGCGAGAGAGCGCGAGGGAGGGAGGGCGGAGGGAGGAGGGAGGGGAGGGAAGCGGGAGGAGGGGGAGGAGGAGGAGGAGGAGGAGGAGGAGGAGGAGAGAGCAGAGUAUACCGCAGACAUCAUUUCUACUACAGUGGCGGAGCCGUACAGGACCUGUUUCACUGCAGGGGGAUCCAAAACAAGCCCCGGGGAGCAGCAGCCAGAGCAAGAGCAGCCGCCAGACAUUGUUUCUCUCCCUCUGCCCCCCUUCCCCACGCAACCCCAGAUCCAUUUACACUUUACAGAGCAUCGCGCAUCAAGUCACCAGGGUGAUCCAUUCAAGCUGCAGAUUUGUUUGUCAUCCUUGUACAACAGUCUCCUCCUCCACUGCCACCGCAGGGAAGUUCAGCACGUGUCAGGUCACAGAACAGAAAGUGCUGGUGGACAUCUCUUCUUGCCCCAAGAUCUUCGUUGGAAGUCCCCAGGACUUGGUGUCUUUGCCGUUCAAAGUGUUUAUGAACUCGCCAGGAGGCUUAAUGUGUCACCAUUUUAUUGUGGGCCACCCUAA
rnacentral:lncRNA from 1 species